rnacentral:lncRNA from 1 species
AGCAAAGACCUGAGGACCUUCAAGAGUGUGGCCCCAGCGGGCUCCAGCCUCCGAGCCUAGCUCGGGAGGCGUGGUGUAGAAAAUGGCAGACUAGGGCAUCCAUGAAGACCGGGCGGCCCCAAGCCGAGAGGCAUGGCAAAACAGGGGUUGCAGGUGGCUGUUCUGGCAGAGCGAGGAGGAUGGAUUUGAAGAAGACAGGCAUGCAGG